rnacentral:rRNA from 1 species
AUUGAACGCUGGCGGCAGGCCUAACACAUGCAAGUCGAGCGGAGCGGCGGACGGGUGAGUAAUGCCUAGGAAUCUGCCUGGUAGUGGGGGAUAACGUCCGGAAACGGGCGCUAAUACAGCAUACUUGCAGCUGAGCCUAGGUCGGAGUAGCUGGUUGGUGGGGUAAAGGCCUACCAAGGCGACGAGCCGUACCUGGUCUGAGAGGAUGAUCAGUCACAGUGGAACUGAGACACGGGACAGACUCCUCCGGGAGGCAGCAGUGGGGAAUAUGGGACAAUGGUCGAAAGCCUGAUCCAGCCAUGACGCGUGUGUGAAGAAGGUUUUCGGAUUGUAAAUCACUUUAAGUUGGGAGGCGUUACCUACAGAAUAAGCACCGGCUAACUUCGUGCCAGCAGCCGCGGUAAUUC